rnacentral:rRNA from 1 species
CUACGGGCUGCUCCAGUGAGGAAUAUUGCACAAUGGGGGGAACCCUGAUGCAGCAACGCCGCGUGGAGGAUGACGCAUUUCGGUAUGUAAACUCCUUUUAUAUGUCAAGAAAAUGACGGUAGCAUAUGAAUAAGCACCGGCUAACUCCGUGCCAGCAGCCGCGGUAAUACGGAGGGUGCAAGCGUUACUCGGAAUCACUGAGCGUAAAGGACGCGUAGGCGGGUUGGAAAGUCAGGUGUGAAAUCCUACAGCUUAACUGUAGAACUGCACUUGAAACUUCUAAUCUAGAGUAUGGGAGGGGGAGAUGGAAUUAGGGGUGUAGGGGUAAAAUCCGUAGAUAUCACUAGGAAUACCUAAAGCGAAGGCGAUCUCCUGGAACAUUACUGACGCUAAGGCGUGAAAGCGUGGGGAGCAAACAGGAUUAGAUACCCCUGUAGUC